AUCCAGCUGACGAGUACCAAAUAGGACGAAACACGCGUCAAACUGGAU
rnacentral:hammerhead_ribozyme from 1 species